GGACAGGUGUCCGAGUGGUUUAAGGAUCCGGUCUUGAAAACCGGCGUGCGGUUCUCCGUACCGUGAGUUCGAAUCUCACCCUGUCCGCCA
rnacentral:tRNA from 6 species